CCAACAUUGACAUCCAGCUUUACCCUGGCUCUGUCUGUGUGGCGUAUGGGAGCUGAAUACCCCUCCCCUGGGGCUGGAGGUAAAGUCCCCUUCCACGAUGUUGGAGAAUAAAGUAUUGUCCCCUGUUAACUCAGGCGUGGACAGAGAGCCCUGCAUAUUCCAUCAACUUCCCGGAGUCCCUCUGGACUGUGACAGGGGAGAUAAACCAUGCAGGGUACAAUU